GGCUCGUUGGUCUAAGGGUAUAAUUCUCGCUUUGGGUGCGAGACGUCCCAGGUUUAAAUCCUGGAAGAGCUC